rnacentral:tRNA from 1 species
GGAAAGGUGGCAGAGUGGUUGAAUGCGGCGGUCUCGAAAACCGUUGUGGGCUUCUAGUUCACCGGGGGUUCGAAUCCCCCCCUUUCCG